AUUGAACGCUGGCGGCAGGCUUAACACAUGCAAGUCGAGCGGGGUGAUGGUGCUUGCACUAUCACUUAGCGGCGGACGGGUGAGUAAUGCUUAGGAAUCUGCCUAUUAGUGGGGGACAACAUCUCGAAAGGGAUGCUAAUACCGCAUACGUCCUACGGGAGAAAGCAGGGGAUCUUUAUGACCUUGCGCUAAUAGAUGAGCCUAGGUCGGAUUAGCUAGUUGGUGGGGUAAAGGCCUACCAAGGCGACGAUCUGUAGCGGGUCUGAGAGGAUGAUCCGCCACACUGGGACUGAGACACGGCCCAGACUCCUACGGGAGGCAGCAGUGGGGAAUAUUGGACAAUGGGGGGAACCCUGAUCCAGCCAUGCCGCGUGUGUGAAGAAGGCCUUAUGGUUGUAAAGCACUUUAAGCGAGGAGGAGGCUCUUUUGGUUAAUACCCAGAAUGAGUGGACGUUACUCGCAGAAUAAGCACCGGCUAACUCUGUGCCAGCAGCCGCAGUAA
rnacentral:rRNA from 1 species